rnacentral:snoRNA from 1 species
CAAUGAUGAACACUCUAGAUGACGAGUCUUAUUCAGCACGCUGAUGCAGACACAACUCAAAUUACCAUUCAUGCAUUUCCUGAGU